rnacentral:rRNA from 1 species
AUUGAACGCUGGCGGCAGGCCUAACACAUGCAAGUCGAACGGUAACAGGAAGAAGCUUGCUUCUUUGCUGACGAGUGGCGGACGGGUGAGUAAUGUCUGGGAAACUGCCUGAUGGAGGGGGAUAACUACUGGAAACGGUAGCUAAUACCGCAUAACGUCGCAAGACCAAAGAGGGGGACCUUCGGGCCUCUUGCCAUCGGAUGUGCCCAGAUGGGAUUAGCUAGUAGGUGGGGUAACGGCUUACCUAGGCGACGAUCCCUAGCUGGUCUGAGAGGAUGACCAGCCACACUGGAACUGAGACACGGUCCAGACUCCUACGGGAGGCAGCAGUAGGGAAUAUUGCACAAUGGGCGAAAGCCUGAUGCAGCCAUGCCGCGUGUAUGAAGAAGGCCUUCGGGUUGUAAAGUACUUUCAGCGGGGAGGAAGGAAGUAAAGUUAAUACCUUUGCUCAUUGACGUUACCCGCAGAAGAAGCACCGGCUAACUCCGUG